AACUUUCGGCAAUGGAUCUCUUGGUUCUCGCAUCGAUGAAGAACGCAGCAAAAUGCGAUAAGUAAUGUGAAUUGCAGAAUUGUGAAUCAUCGAAUCUUUGAACGCACAUUGCGGCUUUUGGUAUUCCGAAAGCCAUGCCUGUUUGAGCGUCAUUUCUUUCUCAACUAUUAUUGUUGGUAUUGACAAACUAGUCCUUUGUAAAAUGAGGACUAUUUGUUGAAAGAAAUUGGUGGAUCUGACUUGAGUCACUAAAACAAAACGUAUUAGGUUUUCCCAACUCGUUUUCCAAAGUAACUCGUUUCUUACGGUCCACCUAAAACAAACCUUUAAACGUUUGACCUCAAAUCAAGUAAGACUACCCGCUGAACUUAAGCAUAUCUAUAAGCGGAGGCU
rnacentral:misc_RNA from 1 species